UGUAUGUCGGGGCUGCGGCUCCGGGAUCUUCUAUUAAGUGUCGAGGCUGCGGCCUCGGGCAGUACUGCGACGACAGCUCCAAGAGGUAGGGCUGCUUGUCGGCAUGGCUUGGGUGAGGACCUUGAAGUGCGGAAGCAGCAAGGUUGUCAGCUCCGUCAAUGCGCCCCAGUCGGGACUGUUGGACGACAUGUUGGGACAGCGGCCCAGGAUGUGGUGCAGCGUUCGUGGUCUAUGUGCGGUUGGCCUGAGCAGCGUGAGCUGCGGGUAGCUGUAUCGUUCGGCGUAGUGCCGGCCAGGUUGUCGCUCAUCCAGGUUGCCGACCGGGAAGAGGUGUAGUGCCGGCCAAGACGAGAACAAGGGGAAGCUGCUUGGUUGUCUGUGUUCAUCAAAGGUGCUCUCUCUUUUCCAUCUUUCUUUUUAUUUACUUAAUCCUAGAUGGGUGACUACUAAUUUCCAUGUCUACUGGGAGGAAGAAGGUUGGCGGACGUAUCUUUGUGACUAUGUCAUUCACGUGCUUUGUUUCAACUCAUAAAGUGGAUCCUUUUUAAGCUAUAUCAAAUCAUAAGACAUAAUUUUCAGUUGAUUUUUUUCUUCUAAUUCCCAGUUUAUUGCUUCACAUAGACUAUUACAUAUUUAUGCUAGCCAAUUCAAAGCUUUGUCCCAAGGGCAAGCAUACCGUUGAAAAAAUAAAUACAUGUACGACAGAUCAGCCAGCAACUUGUUGAUCUGUGAUUCUUUGAAAUUUGAUGCUUAUAACUGUUUAUAAGUCAGUAUUGUUCAGAGCCAAAGAUAAGUAACAAUCUAUUUGGUUAAGUUGAACACUUUCAGAUCAGGAGUAGUAGAAAUUCUUAAGGGCAUUGGGAUAUUGAACUGCAGAUAGCUUCGGCAGGUUUGUUAGGCUAAUAUAAAGUAGGGACCUUUGCUACAUAAUGAUACAAAGAUGAUACCGAAGGUUGUUUUGCAACUAGCAAGUUUCAAGGUCACAUGGAUGCUGACAGCUCUCAGGUGUAUGGCCUAUUUGUUGCUGGGUAUUGUUGCCUUUCUUCCUGGUUUAUACAGCGGAGGAUCCUGAGUUGAUGCAUAUAUUGGCUCAAAAAGUAACUAGGCUCUGAAGUGCAGAUUGACAAGAGAGUUUCUGCUGCUAUUUGUUAAAUCUUAAAGAAACGUCUGUUCCUGAGGUUUACAAGUCCCCUUGUUCAAAUAUGAAAAUGAUUUAUUUGCAAACUUCAAUGCAAAAUGCCAUCCAGGGGGCCAGGGCGAUUAGAUGCCCAUCACUCACGGCGGCAAGAAGUUCCGUGUCGAGUUGAUGAACCAGCACCAGCUGGGAGCCCGGAUGAAGAAGGUUGUCCCCGCGGAGAAAAAGGAGAAGUGAUGAGAUGUUUUUGACAGCUAAUGGAUGAUGUUAUCUUAGUCUGUGAAUUUUUGUUUUGGUCGAUUUAGAAACCUUGUUUGAUGUCUGAAGAUCCCUUUUUGCCCACUGUUCAAACCAUCUCUUCAUUUUUGUGUAAAUGGUAACAAUACACUUCAAACAAUUAAGUUGUCACCCCAAAAA